CUGAGCCACGCUGCUUCUCUAAUACAGUGCUCUGCAUCCAGUUUAGAGUCUCCGGCCACUGGGAAAGGAUAUAAAGAUACUUGCCCUGCUGCACAUUUGACAAGUUCCACACUUCGUCAUUGAGGAAAGAGAUGGAGGCUCCCUUGAGGAACAGGCAGUUGCUGUCUGGAGGGUCCAACUUGAAUACAGGGCAAACAGAUUAACCGAAUGAUGCUCAGAUGUUCACAGAAUGGCUCUUACUUCAGAUUGUCAGCUCCUCCUGGGUCUAGAGUUCCCCGUGGGCUGGGAACCCCCCCUCCCCCCCAACUCUGUAUUGUUCUUUUCUAAGCUAUUUGUACAAUGCUCUGCACACAGUAAGCGCUCAAAUUCCAGAUUCGUUUUUUUUUAAAGACACCCAAUGACUGCUACUAAACCAAAUCCCUUUAAAUGUAGUGAUUUUGAAUAAUGAAUUGCUGUGACUGGUGUAGUACAAAUCAGUGGCAAAAGCUGAAUCAUUCAAAAUGCACUUUUCAACAGAAUAAACUCUUUUCUAUGGUUAAAGACAAAA